GACGAACGCUGGCGGCGUGCCUAAUACAUGCAAGUAGAACGCUGAAGCUUGGUGCUUGCACCGAGCGGAUGAGUUGCGAACGGGUGAGUAACGCGUAGGUAACCUGCCUGGUAGCGGGGGAUAACUAGUGGAAACGAUAGCUAAUACCGCAUAAUAGUAGAUGUUGCAUUACAUUUGCUUAAAAUGUGCAAUUGCAUCACUACCAGAUGGAUCUGCGUUGUAUUAGCUAGUUGGUGAGGUAACGGCUCACCAAGGCAACGAUACAUAGCCAACCUGAGAGGGUGAUUGGCCAACCUGGGACUGAGACACGGCACAGACGCCUACGGGGAGCAGCAGUAGGGAAACUUCGGCAAUGGGUGGAAGACUGAGCACGAUACGCGGAAGGAGGGAAGAAGGUUUUCGGGUCGUAAAGCUCUGUUGUAAGGGAAGAAAGAGUGUGAGAGUGGAAAGUUCACACUGUGACGGUAUCUUACCAGAAAGGGACGGCUAACUACGUG
rnacentral:rRNA from 1 species